rnacentral:rRNA from 1 species
CCUACGGGAGGCAGCAGUAGGGAAUCUUCCACAAUGGACGCAAGUCUGAUGGAGCAACGCCGCGUGAGUGAAGAAGGUUUUCGGAUCGUAAAGCUCUGUUGUUGGUGAAGAACGACAGCAAAGCAACUGGGCUGUGUUUGACGGUAAUCAACCAGAAAGUCACGGCUAACUACGGUGGCAGCAGC